GGGAGCAGGAGGGUCGCUGACAGUGUACGACACUGAGGAAAGUCCCCUCUCCUUGAUGCAGGUGGUCCGGCGCAAGUCGGAGGUCCGGGAGGGCCGGCUCUGCAACAGAAACGAACCGCGCCAGGCGCACUGUGAACCCGAGAGGGGGAGAUUUCCUGACCGCGGCUGGAACGAGCAUCCCCACCGGAGCAAGUCCAAGCAGGUCCGCAUGGCAUCGACAGGACCGGGUAGGAUGCAUAGUUGAAUGCGACCAGCCGAAAGGUGAACAGAAAGGGGCUUACUCCCUGCACCC
rnacentral:RNase_P_RNA from 1 species